rnacentral:rRNA from 1 species
GACGAACGCUGGCGGCGUGCUUAACACAUGCAAGUCGAACGGAAGGGCCCCUUUGGUGGUACUCGGAUGGUGACCGGGUAAGUAACAGGUGAGUAUCCUGAACCUGACUACGGGAUUACUACAGGUAACUGAAACUAAUGCUGGUACGGAAUCAUUGCUGCAUGGUCGGGGUUGGAAAGCUUCGGCGGUUUUGGCUGGAUCCGCGGCAUAUCGGCUUGCUGGUGGGGCUGUGGCUUACCAAGACUUCUUAGGGUAGCCGGCCUGCGAGGGCGACCGGCGACACAGAGACUGAGGGACGGCCCAGACUCCGACGGGAGGCAGCAGUGGGGAAUAUUGCACGAUGAGCGGAGGCCUGAUGCAGCAAGUCCGCGGGCGGUAUGACGGCCUUCGGGUUGUAGACCACAUUCAGCAGUAGCGAAGCUUGUGGUGACGGUACCUACAGAGGAAGCACCGGCUAACUACGUG